rnacentral:rRNA from 1 species
UAUUUAGAGGAUUUGAUCCUGGUCCAGGAUGAACGCUGGCGGCGUGGAUAAGGCAUGCAAGUCGAGCGCCCAGCACCAUUUUCGCAAGAAAAUAGUGCUGGGAGCGGCAGACGAGUUAGUAACACCUUGGCACAUACCUCAAAGACGGGCAUAGCUCACCGAAAGGUGAGGUAAUUCCCGAUAGUCCCAGCACCUUUAAUAAAGGUGCUGGGUAAAUCUCGCAAGAGGCUUUGAGAUUGGCCUAGGUCUGAUCAGCUAGUUGGUGAGGUAAUGGCUCACCAAGGCUAUGACCAGUAGGGGGGCUGAGAGGCUGAUCCCCAACGACGGCACUGAGAUACGGGCCGUACACCUACGGGUGGCUGCAGUCGAGAAUAUUUGACAAUGGACGCAAGUCUGAUCAAGCGACGCCGCGUGAAGGAUGAAGGUCUUCGGAUUGUAAACUUCUUUUCUACGGGAAAAACCCAGCACCUUUUUCGUGCUAUAAUUUUUUCUAUGUAUUACGUGUAUGUAAUUCAAAGUCACAAAACAAAAGAUUUGUACUUUGGAAUAACAUCAGAUUUAGACAAGAGAUUAGGAUCUCAUAAUCAAGGUAAAACAAAUCUACAAAAUUUGGUUCGCCUUGGGAGUUUGUCUACAUAGAAAGUUAUAGGUCAGAAAAAGAUGCCAGAGUUCGUGAACGAAUGUUAAAGCAUUAUGGUAAUGCGCGAACUUAUGUAAAGAGACGAAUUAAAAAUAGUCUUUUGUAGCACGAAAAAGGUGCUGGGUGAUGGUACUGUAGGAAUAAGGAGCUGCUAACCUCGUGCCAGCAGCCGCGGUAAGACGAGGGCUCCAAGCGUUAUCCGGAUUUAUUGGGCGUAAAGGGUGCUCAGGAGGACAAUUAAGUUUACUGUUAAAUCUCGGGGCUUAACUUCGAGGCCGCAGUGAAUACUGAUAGUCUCCUCUGUACAAAUAUUUUCACACAUUGAUAAAGAAAUUUUCGAGAAAGUCCGAGGCGCUUGUCAGAAAGGUAUCCGUCAGCUGACGGAUACGAUUUCCUCAACCCGCGAACGCAGAGAGCGGAGCAGUCGUCGUAUGACGGCCUCGCGCCUUGCACUUGAUACAAAAUAAAAGGAUUUCAAUCUAGUGGAAACAUUUGUACAGAGGAGACGUGUCUAGAGUGUGCAAGAGGCUGAUAGAACUCACGGUGUAGGGGUGAAAUCCGUUGAUAUCGUGGGGAAUACCAAAGGCGAAGGCAUUCAGCUGGUGCAUUACUGACUCUCAAGCACGAAAGCGUGGGGAGCAAAAAGGAUUAGAUACCCUUGUAGUCAACGCCCUAAACCAUGCAUACUAGCUAUUUCGAGUAUCGACCCUCGGAGUGGCGUAGCUAACGCGUUAAGUAUGCCGCCUGGGAAGUACGGCCGCAAGGCUAAACCUCAAAGGAAUAGACGGGGACUCGCACAAGCGGUGGAGCAUGAGGUUCAAUUCGACGGUAAGCGAGGAACCUUACCAGGGUUUGAAAUCCAGACGAAGUCUCGCAGAAACGUGAGAUGUCUCUCAAGGACGGCUGGACAGGUGCUGCAUGGUUGUCGUCAGCUCGUGUUUUGAAAUGUUCCCUUAAGUGGGGUAACGAGCGCAACCCUUAUCUGAUGUUAUAUAUGUCAUCGGAGACUGCCCUCUUUUUGGGGGAGGAAGGAGAGGACGACGUCAAAUCCGCAUGGCCCUCUGAUACCCUGGGCUACACUCGUGCUACAAUGGCUAAAACAAUGGGUUGCCAAGCCGCAAGGCGGAGCUAAUCCCAUCAAAAAUAGCCUCAGUUCAGAUUGAGGGCUGCAACUCGCCCUCAUGAAGCCGGAAUCGCUAGUAAUCGCGCAUCAGCAAUGGCGCGGUGAAUACGUUCUCGAGUCCUGUACUCACAAUAAAAGCGCUAAGCAGGUUAUGAAAUCCCGAUUCGCUAUUAGCGAAUCGCGGAUGCUCGAUCUCAUUU